AUGGGUKUGUAAACUGCUUUUAUACAGGAAGAAACACUCCCUCGUGAGGGAGCUUGACGGUACUGUAAGAAUAAGGACCGGCUAACUCCGUGCCAGCAGCCGCGGUAAUACGGAGGGUCCGAGCGUUAUCCGGAAUCAUUGGGUUUAAAGGGUCCGUAGGCGGGCAGCUAAGUCAGUGGUGAAAGUUUGCAGCUCAACUGUAAAAUUGCCAUUGAAACUGGUUGUCUUGAAUCGUUGUGAAGUGGUUAGAAUAAGUAGUGUAGCGGUGAAAUGCAUAGAUAUUACUUAGAAUACCGAUNGCGAAGGCAGAUCACUAACAACGUAUUGACGCUGAGGGACGAAAGCGUGGGGAGCGAACAGGAUUAGAU
rnacentral:rRNA from 1 species